GGGGUCGGGGGCGGGGGCGGGGGAGGAGGCGCGCGCGGCGCGCACGCACUGCACGUGGCCGCUGGCGCCGCUCGCCGCGCUCAGCAUGGCGGAGGAGCCGGCGUGCUGCGUGCGCAGCGACCUGUUCCUGGCCGCGCACGACGAGGACUCGCAACAAAUGAUCCCGGGCGCGGGCAGCGAGCCGGUGCUGGAGGCCGCGUCGCCGCUGCCGCCGCUCGGCCUGCUCGACUACAUGCAGGAGGAGCUGAUGUACUCGGACGCGGUGGACGAGUCCUCCUUCCAGGUGCUGCUGCUCAGCGAGGAGCUCGGCUAGC